ensembl:snRNA U1 U1 spliceosomal RNA
AUACUUACCUGGCAGGGGAGAUACCAUGAUCACUAAGGUGGUUUUCCCAGGGCGAGGCUUAUCCAUUGCACUCAGGAAGUGCUGACCCCUGUGAUUUCCCCAAAUGCAAGGAAACUCCACUGCAUAAUUUGUGGUAGUGGGGGACUUCGAAAGUUCCUGG